rnacentral:rRNA from 1 species
CAGCCGUAAACUAUGCGCGUUAGGUGUACUGGUGACCACGAGUCACCGGGGUGCCGAAGGGAAACCGUGAAACGUGCCGCCUGGGAAGUACGGUCGCAAGGCUGAAACUUAAAGGGAUUGGCGGGGGAGCACCACAACGGGUGGAGCCUGCGGUUUAAUUGGACUCAACGCCGGAAAUCUCACCGGAUAGGACAGACAUAUGAUAGUCGGGCUGAAGACUCUACUUGAUGAUCUGAGAGGAGGUGCAUGGCGUCGACU